UACAGAGGUGCUCAAGCGUUUGUUCGGGAUUCAUUGGGCGUAAAGGGUGCGUAGGCGGCGCGGUAGUCGGGUGUGAAAAUCGUUGGAGCUUAACUCCGAAACUGCAUUCGGAUACGUGCCGUGCGUUGAGGACUGGAGAGGAGACGUGGAAUUUACGGUGAGCGGUGAAAUGCGAUAGAUAUCGUAAGGAAGACCGUGGCGAAGGCGGGU
rnacentral:rRNA from 1 species